GCAGGCAUAGCCAAGUAGUAAGGCAAGCGGCUGCAACCCGCUGAUCCCAGGUGCAAAUCCUGGUGUCUGCU
rnacentral:tRNA from 1 species